GACGAACGCUGGCGGCAUGCCUAACACAUGCAAGUCGAACGGAGCCAAUCAGAUGAUCCCUUCGGGGUGAAUUUGAGGAAGCUUAGUGGCGGACGGGUGAGUAACGCGUGAGUAACCUGCCUUUCAGAGGGGGAUAACGUUCCGAAAGGAACGCUAAUACCGCAUAACGUAUUUUUACCGCAUGAUAGAAAUACCAAAGAUUUAUCGCUGAAAGAUGGACUCGCGUCUGAUUAGCUAGUUGGAGGGUAACGGCCCACCAAGGCGACGAUCAGUAGCCGAACUGAGAGGUUGAUCGGCCACAUUGGGACUGAGACACGGCCCAGACUCCUACGGGAGGCAGCAGUGGGGGAUAUUGCGCAAUGGGGGAAACCCUGACGCAGCAAUGCCGCGUGAAGGAAGAAGGUCUUCGGAUCGUAAACUUUUGUCUUCAGGGACGAAACAAGACGGUACCUGAGGAGGAAGCCACGGCUAACUACGUG
rnacentral:rRNA from 1 species